rnacentral:rRNA from 1 species
GACGUAGGGGGCAAGCGUUAUCCGGAAUGAUUGGGUGUAAAGGGUGAGUAGGCGGUUAAUUCAAGUCAUAUGUUAAAAGCUGCGGCUUAACUGCAGUACGGCAUAAGAAACUGAAUAACUAGAGUGCAGGAGAGGUAAGCGGAAUUCCUAGUGUAGCGGUGAAAUGCGUAGAUAUUAGGAAGAACACCAGUGGCGAAGGCGGCUUACUGGACUGCAACAGACGCUGAGGCACGAAAGCGUGGGGA